CGGGACGGAGCGGGGAGCGAAGAGGACGUGACGUCCAUGUCGACCACGGGUAUGGAGAUCACCAGCGCCGGCACGUGGAGGACGUCGUCAAUUCCGCCAUGCCGCCGCCGCCAAGCUUGAGGAGGAGGCGCGGCGCGGGGAGGUUUGCACAAGGCCACCAUCGACACCCUCUGAUGGAUCCUGGCCGCCUCGGCAUAUCCUCCACGAGUUGAGCACUCCGGCCACGGCGCCAUCUCGAUGGCGGCUCUCCUACAGGUGUGUAGCCCCUCUCUCUCUCUCCCCUAAGAUACUCCAGGCCGGCAAGAUCCUCCAGGCCGCUCUUCUGUGGCCGGCGGUCAUGGUGAGAGUCAGUUCCUGCUCGGUAUAGCGGCCAUCGACGAGGUGCUCUGGCUCCCCCAAUCAUUCUCCACUUAUGCCAUCCCUCUCGAAGCUUUCAUGGUGACUGCUCCUCCGUCCCGUCGGCCAGAUUGUUUUAUCUCCUUCCCCGCUGGAGCGCGAAGGAGGUGGCGCGCUCUGUGAGGUUGCGGUGAUGGUGAGCUCGCCGUGUGGAACCCUCUGCGUUGAGGCCCCAUGUCUUCUCCAGGACCGGCCUCCACGCCUCCCCAGCCAUUCCCCUACAGGAAGUUGCUUCAAUUCAUCAGUCGGCACUGUCCUUUGCAUUGUUGUUGUGAUCAGGGUUCUGCUGCUCACUAGCAUCUAAGGUUUGGAUAAGCUUGGUUUGUCUUACCAGAAGAGGGAUCUGCCUAUUGCAUAUCUGGUCAGCAUUCGCUAUGUACCAAAAAAUAAUCUCGCCUCUUCCAUUUUUCUUCUUGUAUUCUUGCAACUUAAUUUGUCCCUUCCUUGAUUACCCAAAUCUUUUUUGUUGUGGACCGGAAAUAACUACAUACUCUUUAUCUUCUUGCCCAUGCUUCUAUUUGUAUAUAUAUGUUGUCAUUUUGUAUAAGUAAACCAUCACUUAAUUACUGCAAUUUCCUUAUUCUUUCGAGGCAUUAGAGGUAAACAUAAUUAGUUUGUAAUAUCCUAUCCUUCUGGUGACGAAUACUGAACUUCUUCUGACUGUGGACUCAAAACUAUUUAGAUUUCUCUUUCUUUUUGAUAAAUAUUUGAUUUUCUAUGUUCCUUCCUUUUUAUCUGGUUAUGCUAAGAAAAUAAUGAGUAAAUUAAUAAUAAAUGGAGAAUAGGUACCGUGGUCAUUUUACUCUGCAUCGAUAAGGAUAGUUAAUUGUAUUUUACAACCUAUUUAUUGAUGUUGGCUCUUCUGUCAUGUAAAUUGAUUUUAUUUGGAAAUAUGAAGCUGUGGAUCUACAGUAAUUAUGUUUGAACAAUCUGAUUGUGUGGUUCACGUUUUUGUGGUAGUACUUGACAGCUAUAGAUUCAGCAUGAUCAUCUUUUGUAAUCUCACUUCUUUUGCUGGUCAAGAACAGGGCUCAUCCUCAUUUGUCUUGUCAUUGGUCUUCCUCCCUCACCUAGAUAGUGGGAGCUGUACCUUCACGGCUAGAGUAUGGCGUCAAGAUCAGUGACCUCGCCUUCUCCACACCACCAUAGGAUGAUCCAGAGCUCCCGUUGGAUUCUAAAGGUGUAUUUUCCUCUGCCAUGCGUUCCCUAUUUAUGCUUUAUGUGAUCACCUGGCCGACAACUGUACGUCUUAGUGCGAUAUUAUUCAGAUGCGAACGGCGGGAGGCACGUGGCUACAUGCUCCAGUCUAUCCUUCAUGUACGUCGCCGACUCUGUAAUGAAGGCAGCCAUCUUCAGCAACAAUGAAUGCAAGAAAGAAAUCGGCCGCGUCCUGUGAACAAUGAUAUCAAAUCAACAAACUUUCGAUCCUUUUUGUCAUCAACAAGCUAUUCGCCCUUGCCUUCUAAAUUUUGUUCUUUUGUUGUGAACCAAUGUAACUAUCUAUCUUUUUUAUUACAACUAGAACUUCAACUAUGCUAGCCAGGCCGUUUUGGUUGAUGAGGUUCAUUAUACGAAUUAUCGGCUAUGUACUUCUAUAAUAGUGUCACUUGAUCUUUGAUCUUGCACUGACUAUAAUAAGCACACAAAUAGCAGUCUCGAUAGUAAUGUACAUUCUUCACCAAUUUUAAACCAUAAGCAAGUCGUACUACAAUCAAUCUAAGUGACAUAUUCAUGUCAUCUCACACCUUCUCCAUCAGCUAGCCACGGCCCAGGCAAAGAAAUAGCCCAGAUCUAAUUGCAAAAGGAGACUCAUCACUUGGCUAUGGUAAGCUAGACUACUCUUCUUAUGGCAUCAGGAAACUAUCUAUGUUUAAACACCUGGUGACCAAUUGAAGGGAUCAAUAUCUGUGAAAGGAUUAUAAAUCCCGGAACAGAUGGUAAUGUCUAUAUUUCGAUCCCAUUGUGAAUCGCAUGUCAUCAAAAGAUGAGGCACAUCUUACGAAAAAAGUCAGGUUUAUGUGAAAUAGGAACCACUGUAGAAAAUGAGAAGUUCCUGGAGUCUAAAUAUGAAAUAGCAAUCAAUGUUUGUAUUUUUUCCAACACUCCAUGAGAUCAUUUUUCUUCUCUAAAUAGAGAAGAUGAAUUCAGUGCACAUCCUAGGUUGUUGGUACGACAUCAUGUACAUAUCUAUAACAAUGAAUUAAGGGCAAUUUGUUUUUGUACUUUUUUCAUCAGAAAUGGGAGCCUGUUAUGAUGAGAACAUAAAUCUAUUCCUAAGUCCUAGCUAUUCCUUCUCUAGGAAUUUGAGAAGGUUUCUCCUAUUUGUGGUGAAAGCGAGGCUGGAAUAGCUCCCAUGGGCAGUUGCAGGAAUAGAGGAGGGGAAGCAGAGCAAAGGUAGAACCAGAGUAGGCAAGAAAGAAGGAUAAAUUAGUAGAUCAUUAUCCCCAACCAAAUUUGGUCAUCCUCAAGCAACCUAGGUAAAUUUAUGUCAAAGGGCACAAAUAAUUGUUCUCUAACUAAAAUCUGACUCUUCUUUUUCCCCGUGUCAUGAUUUUAAUCCAGAAAGGGGAAAUAUAAAAUUAUAAGGGAAAAUAAAAUAACCUCAGAUUUAUGCUAUAUGGAUGAAAUUAAGAACUCAUUUAGCUACCGUUGUUCUCUGAAAAUAUAAUAAGCAUGCUCUGAAAUUAAGAAUUGAUGUGGUGCUCCUGUGUAGUGAAAUGCUUGCAUGUAUAGUUUUGGUUUUGGUGUUUUGAAACUAAACUGAACCCUGGGAUUUGUGGGUUCAUUCAUCUCCGUGGCUGUUGUUUUCAAUGAUGAAGGCAACAACGUCUUUGCGGAGGCGGUCGAUGAGCACGGUUUUGUCCUCCUCAGUGACAGUGUCGUAAGUCGAAUCCUCUGCCCUGACCUACACACGGAUGGGCGCCUGAGCUGCGGGUGGCCUGGAGGGCUCGCCACCGCCUCACCCCAGUGUCCAAGCGGUGACAAUGAAGGAUCAGCGUGUUGCUAGGUAGUAUUCUGUUAUGUAUAGCCAGAGGACCACCAAAUAUACAUAAGAUUGCACACUAGAAUAUAAUCAUCCCUUCUAUAUUUCAUACUUACGCUAAUUUAUCCAGUAAAGAUUUUGACCAGACCAGAUAUAAAGUAGUACUUGUCAGCAGCAUAGCUGCACAUACUGAUGUAGAAUCAAAUUUGCAGAGCUAUACUUUGUUCUUUGACUAUAUUGUAGACUUGCGCAAUGGAGUCAUCAUGCCGGCUCGACACGUCCACAGGAGAAAAAGCAAGGUAAAUUUUGUUUCACUACAAUUUAUGCCAGGCUUAUAUGAAUCUGCUAUCUAAUGCAGUAGUAUGUCAUUCGUUUUCGUAACACUAAAAAAUGAUAAGUGUGACCAAAUCUGUGGUCCAUCCACGUCCUCCUUAUGUAAGAUAUUUUCGGUGAUCUGAAAGUAUUUCAUUUUUUCUGCUUACAAAUAGAAAAGAAACAGUAAAAAACAACUAUCACGUAUAUAUAUGUGCUUGAUCUACUAAAUAUAUACAUAUUAGAAUAUGGCAGAUACUGUAGAAUUGGUAGUACUACUAAAGUGCUUGAAGCAUUAGGAGCAGGAAACACUUGUUUAAAUGGGAACUAGACGAUCGGUUCAGCAGAAAGUUUCCUGGUAGCUUAUAUGCCUAAUUGCAACGACUUGUGGCAUACCUACAUUUUGUAUGUAGCAAUUAUGGUAUGCUUCCAAUUUUAUGUAAUUUAAUAUCUUCCAAUUGAUAGUCAGUCUAAGUAUCUAUUAUGAUGGAAAAUGCAUCUGAUGUUGCAGACUUAGCUGGAGUAUAAACUUGUGUAAGUUAGGCAUCGAUUUAUCUCUACAUGGCUCAGUGUUCCUGUUACCAUAAAAACAUGAUAAAUUUUGUCAAAUAUGAGUAUACAACAUCCACUAUUUCUUGAGGACAGGCACUGAUCGAUGCACGCUUCUCUUGACUUUCGUUUGUAGUUUGCCGGAAUAAGAGAGUGCACUAAGCAUCAUGUGCCAAUGUUACCAGAUAGGUUUUUCCUGAGUUAAUUAUCUUUUGCUGGAUCAAUAUUUUCUUUUUGAAAUAUAUUUAGCUCCACUCGGCGAUAGCUUGCACAUACAUUACCUCUCUCACUUAUGUGACUUGCACAUACAAUAUAUUUUGUCUCUCGGUUGUGAGACCAACCUGUGCAGUCUGUCAUGACUAAUAUGAGUGAUUAAUGGGGAAAUAUUUCUAUGUUGGGUGGUUUAAGACAUGCAUCAGAUAAUGUUUCUCAGUGAGAUCUGUUGAUAUGAUUCUUAUCUAGAUUCAGGAUUUUGUCCAAGAUUGCUUCUGAAAUCAACUAAAUGCAAGAACAUUUGUCUUCCUUCUGAAAAUCAUUUCUAAGUUUUGAAGUGUUGUUGUGUACAUAUUUGUUGAGGAAAUUGGCGAAGACAACAGGCCGAGGAUAGGAGUUGUUAAUUGUAUGCUGGAGAAGGCACGGGAGGGAACGGUGACAUAAGCAUUGGUGCUGCGACAACGGGUGUUGUUGUGGUCAUUAUGUGGUCAAUGACAUUGAGCCACAAAGAGCUCAUUCCCUUUGGCUCCAGUUGAUGUAUGUUGAUUCCUAUAUUAAUAAUUUCUGUUACGAAGAGUGUCUUCUGAUGUUAGUUAAACCUAUUAUGAUUUUGGGUGUGUACCUGAAGGAAGUGCAUGAAUAUGGUUUUAGGCUUUCAGAUUUGGACUUAGAGUAGGAUCUUGCAUUAAUUUCCUACUGUAGUAAUUGCAAUGAUGGGAUAUCAGAAAUAAUCUUUCAGCC